GCCAGGCGCGGUGGCGGGCGCCUGUAGUCCCAGCUACUCAGGAGGCUGAGGCAGAAGAAUGGCAUGAACCCAGGAGGCGGAGCUUGCAGUGAGCUGAGAUCAUGCCACUGUACUCCAGCCUGGGUGAUAGUGCAAGACUCUGUCUCAA
rfam:Nomascus leucogenys chromosome 13, whole genome shotgun sequence.